CCUCGGGGGGCAGCAGUGAGGAAUAUUGGUCAAUGGGCUUACGCCUGAACCAGCCAAGUCGCGUGCGGGAAGACUGCCCUAUGGGUUGUAAACCUCUUUUGUCAGGGAGCAACGCCGGCUACGUGUAGCCGGACUGAGAGUACCUGAAGAAAAAGCAUCGGCUAACUCCGUGCCAGCAGCCGCGGUAAUACGGAGGAUGCGAGCGUUAUCCGGAUUUAUUUGGUUUAAAGGGUGCGUAGGCGGAAUGCUAAGUCAGCGGUAAAAUCGCGGGGCUCAACCUCGCUCCGCCCGUGAAACUGGCGUUCGUGAGUGGGCGAGAAGUAUGCUGAAUGCGUGGGG
rnacentral:rRNA from 1 species